AUUUAAGUGUUAUUAUAAGCGACCUAGACUCUUAUGCUUGCCAUUUGUUCAUAAAGAAGAGAACUGUUGCUAUAUUAAUAAAAGUCCUGUACUUUGUUACCUGAUCGCUUGCUAUUCACUACUCGCUGGCAAGAUUAGGAUGAGAAUUUUCAUCAACAGCCUUCUUGCGGGUCUGAUUAGAUCGCUGUCUGCGGCUGACUUGUGAGUGACAAGGAACUGCAGCUUGCAUCUCACUGUUUUGUGUCACAUCUUGGUAUUCACUCUUAUUGGAUAUUUCUUCUAGUUUAUGCAACUGCAACAAUUACAAACCACUUCAGUCACAUCCAUAGCAUAUGUGGAUUUUAAAUGCUACAUACAAGUUUGGCAGUAAUAUCACAAGCACCUCACAAUGAUCUAGUCAGCUCAUGGCAUCCAAAGGUUAAAUGUUAGAGAAGUCACACCAGUCAAUGCAGCAAUGACAAGUGCAGAGAUGUUACAUCACUGGGGACGGUCACUGCAGAUUGCCAAUGUGUACAGCUGAAAUAAACAGAACUGAAUAUGGUUUUCAACACCUUAUCAUAUAAACAGUGCUAUAUGUCACUACUACCUUCAACAGUAAUGACUGGCUGUGGAAAACUUUGUCUCUCAACUUGCUUUAAACAUGUGGAAUUUAGAAAGGAAUAGAACCUGGCCUAUAAUGAAUUAUUCUCAGGCUACCAGCUGUGUAAGGUGGUUUAAUGGAGAAAACAUUGUUUUGAGAACCAUCUUUGUUCUUGUCCCCAGGGUACUGUACUAUUUGCUAUCCAGUUAUAUCAGUCUUUGGCAAAGAAAUAAUGGUGGCAUCUUACGGUACAGUAUGGACUCAAAUAGUAAGCUCUUAACACAAUUUCAAAUGAUUUCAUG